AUUGAACGCUGGCGGCAUGCUUUACACAUGCAAGUCGGACGGCAGCGGGGUACUGCUUGCACUACUGCGGGCGAGUAGCGCACGGGUGAGUCAUAUAUUGGAACGUACCGAGUAAUGGGGGAUAACCAAUCGAAAGAUUGGCUACUACCGCAUACGCCCUGAGGCGGAAAGCAGGGGACCUUGGGUCCUUGCGUUAUUCUAGCGGCCAAUAUCUGAUUCGCUAGUUGGUGGGGUAAGGGCCUACCAAGGCGACGAUCAGUAGCGGGUCUGAGAGGAUGAUCGGCCACACUGGGAGGGAGACACGGCCAAGAGGCCUAAGAGAGGCAGCAGUGGGGAAUGUUAGACAAUGGGCGCAAGCAUGAUCCAGCCAGGCCGCGUGUCUGAAGAAGGCCUUCGGGUUGUAAAGAACGUUUGUUAGGGAAGAAAAAGGAGCGGCUAAUACCCGUUUCUGCUGACGGUACCUAAAGAAUAAGCACCGGCUAACUACGUG
rnacentral:rRNA from 1 species